AUUCCAGCUCCAAUAGCGUAUAUUAAAGUUGUUGCAGUUAAAACGCUCGUAGUCGGAUUUCGGGGCGGCUUCGUCGGUCUGCCGAUGGGUAUGCACUGACGCGGGCGUCCUUCCUUCCGGAGACGCGUCCUACUCUUAGCUGAGCGGGGCGUGGAGACGGAUCGUUUACUUUGAAAAAAUCAGAGUGUUUCAAGCAGGCAUCAUCGCUCUUGCAUGGAUUAGCAUGGGAUAAUGAAAUAGGACCUUGGUGCUAUUUUGUUGGUUUCGAGCACCGAAGUAAUGAUUAAUAGGGACAGUUGGGGGUAUUCGUAUUUCAUUGUCAGAGGUGAAAUUCUUGGAUUUUUGAAAGACGAACUACUGCGAAAGCAUUUACCAAGGAUGUUUUCAUUA
rnacentral:rRNA from 1 species